rnacentral:lncRNA from 1 species
CAUGAUCCUCAGCUCUCAUAAUGCACAGUGUGUUCUCAGCUCUAUAUGAAAAUAGAUAGGAGAGUGAUUCAGAGGAUUAAGUUGAAGGCUGAAAAAUCAUUGAGGAUUUUAUUUGCUCUUCUUUUAGAUAUCCUUUGAUUGGAUCAUUGUGAAGAUGAGCACGCUGGAGUGCCUUCCUCAUGGUCACACAGAAGAAUAAAUAAGUUAUGUAUUUCGUUUACCUGGUACCAUGGCUGACAUGUGGAAGAUGCUUAGUAAAUAUGAGAAAGUAUUAUUACUGCUGGAAGAAGAAAGGGGAAGAUAAAGAGUUAUGGUUGUUUCAGGGAAUGUCUGGGAUCUUUCAUCUUUGUGAAGUCUGGUGUCCACGGCUAUGCAUCCAUCCAUCCAUCCAUCCAUCCAUCCAUCCAUAUAUCUUCCUCCUUGGAUGUACAUUAGAGAAACUCUUCAUAUAGAAUUUAUUUCACAGUAAACAUAAACCUCCUUUUCCCUUUGUCUGUGACCUUAUUGUGUCUUCAUUGAUUUCUCUGUCUAGGAAGCAGGCUUGGUCCUGGGCCUUUCAUUUAUGUUGUAUGGCAUUUUAUACACAACAAUCCCGAGAGACCGUUACAGUUAUCUCCAGUUGCCUGAUAAAGAAACUGAGUCUCAUGUUUUCUUCAAAUGACCCGAGUGUGCUCACAGAAGUGGCAAAAUGGUAGAGCAGCAUUUCGACCCUGGUAGACUGAUACGACAGAUGUUUAGUUAUGGCUUCCGGAUUAAUUUGUCUCAUUAAAUAUUUCCAGGUUUUCAUUUGAUGGCUCAAUAUCAACUGGAAUACUAAACAAAAACGUUAACUCAAGGGGCCUAAACUAUAGGAGAAUUUACUGGUUUGUGAAUUUCAAAGGCCAUAGGCUUUUGUAAGU